rnacentral:rRNA from 1 species
UGUUGCAUGGCUGUCGUCAGCUCGUGUUGUGAGAAGUUGGGUUAAGUCCCGCAACGAGCGCAACCCUCGCCUUUAGUUGCCAGCAUUUAGUUGCGUACUAUAAAGAAACCGCCGGUGAUAAGCCGGAGGAAGGUGGGG